GUAGGUGGCAAGCGUUGUCCGGAAUUAUUGGGCGUAAAGCGCGCGCAGGCGGGUUCUUUAAGUCUGAUGUGAAAGCCCACGGGCUCAACCGUGGAGGGUCAUUGGAAACUGGAGAACUUGAGUACAGAAGAGGAAAGCGGAAUUCCACGUGUAGCGGUGAAAUGCGUAGAGAUGUGGAGGAACACCAGUGGCGAAGGCGGCUUUCCGGUCUGUAACUGACGCUGAGGCGCGAAAGCGUGGGGAGCAAACAGGAUUAGAUACCCUGGUAGUCCACGCCGUAAACGAUGAGUGCUAAGUGUUAGGGGGUUUCCGCCCCUUAGUGCUGCAGCUAACGCAUUAAGCACUCCGCCUGGGGAGUACGGCCGCAAGGCUG
rnacentral:rRNA from 1 species